rnacentral:lncRNA from 1 species
AUGGCGGCCAGUGGGAGGGGGCUCCUGAACCUCUCCCCCCAUCCCUCUCUCCCUCUCCCCCUCCCUGGCAUAGGGAAGGAGUUCUCCUGUGCGAGGGACUGCUGGAAAGACAGGGCCAGAGCACAGAAGGGCCUGGCCCAAAGAACUGAACACCCUGAGACGCCCUCACUCGCCCCUCUCCUCGCUUGCCAGCAGAACCCACGUUCCAGCCGCAGUGGAGGAACGGGCGAGGGUGAGGGUCGGGGUGCUCAGGCAGGGCAGGCCUGGGGGUUCCUGAGCCCAGCCCCCGCCCCACUCACCUAUGAAGAGUGCCGCCCAGGUCUUGAUGUGGUGGUGGCGGCUGUGCAGGUAGCUGAGGGCCUGCGCCAAGUGGAUGCCGAACUCCUCCCGGCUGUGGCUCAUCUGGGGAGCACGUCUCUGUCACUCGCUGGGGCCAGAGUGGGGACCUGGCGGCCAGCCUCCCAUCCCCUCCCCGCUGCGGGCCCUCACCAGGCAGCUCCAGAGGAAGUGGCGGGCGCUGAGGCCCUUCUCCCAGGCCAGCGUACAGAAGAGGGUGUGCUGCGGCCGCCAGUGGAGCAGCACGGAGCAGCGGUAGAAGGCAAACUUGGCCUGCUGCGGGACGGCAGGGAGGGCCGGGCGUGGGCGGCAGUUCCGAGGAAGCUGCCUGUGCUCCCCGGCUGCUUCCUGCUGCCUUCAGGCUGCACUCUGAGCCCACCCGCCUCCCUGGCCAGGACCACGGCCCCCUGGGCUGAAGGCAGUGUUCAGUCCCCACCCGCUUGGAAACUGGCUGCUUGUUUAUCCCCCCAGUGGCCGGGAGCUGCAGGAAGGCUGAGCAUGUCUUAAUGGCCUGGUGUGGGGCACCGGCUGGCACACGUAGGGCUCAGCCCAUAUUUCAAGUUCAAUGAACCACCUGCGCCUGAGGACAUGCCCGGCGCUGGAGACGCAGCAGGAAGCAGGACAGACGGUGUCCUGACCACAGACGCACAGCCACACGUGGGCACAUGUGUGAGUGCACGCGUGUGCACACGGGGAGGAGCAGGAACCCAGUGGGGGCUGGCCCCGCGGCCCCGGGGGUGUCCCUGGCUCUCAGCAGCCCCCUGCCCACCGUGGGGCCCCAGCCCCGCCAGGCGAAGGCCUGACGCGGGCACUGACCGUGACGACGGUGGGGCAGUGGUCCUUCAGGUGCAGGAGCAGGGGCACCAUGGUCUGCUGCACCUGGGUUCGCAGGCUGCCCAGCUGCUGGCCUGCCACCGACGCCACCAGGUCCCCGAACAGUGCCAUGGCCGCUGCCCGGACCUCGUCCCGCUCCUGCAAGGCAGAGUCUCAGAGCCCAGCCAGACCCACCUUGGGACCCUCGACUCCCAGUACCCUCAGCAGGACCCCUUCAUUGGGGCUCCAGGAACAGACCUCAGCCUCCCCCCUCGGACAGGGCUCUAGGGCAGGGAUGAGCUUCCCCCUCAGAC